ACGAACGCUGGCGGCGUGCUUAACACAUGCAAGUCGAGCGGUAAGGCUCCUUCGGGAGUACACGAGCGGCGAACGGGUGAGUAACACGUGAGUAAUCUGCCCUUCACUUCGGGAUAACCGCCGGAAACGGUGGCUAAUACCGAAUACGACGCGCUUUCGCAUGAGAUGCGCGUGGAAAGUUUUAUCGGUGAAGGAUGUGCUCGCGGCCUAUCAGCUUGUUGGUGAGGUAACGGCUCACCAAGGCUUCGACGGGUAGCCG
rnacentral:rRNA from 1 species